rnacentral:rRNA from 1 species
ACGUUAGCGGCGGACGGGUGAGUAACACGUGGGUAACCUACCUAUAAGACUGGGAUAACUUCGGGAAACCGGAGCUAAUACCGGAUAAUAUUCGAACCGCAUGGCUCGAUAGUGAAAGAUGGUUUUGCUAUCACUUAUAGAUGGACCCGCGCCGUAUUAGCUAGUUGGUAAGGUAACGGCUUACCAAGGCGACGAUACGUAGCCGACCUGAGAGGGUGAUCGGCCACACUGGAACUGAGACACGGUCCAGACUCCUACGGGAGGCAGCAGGUC